rnacentral:ncRNA from 1 species
GACGGUUUUUAAGACUCUGUCUUAAAAUUAAAAGGGAAUUGAGUGAAAAUCUCAGGCAACCGCCAUUACCGUAACUGAUGAAGCAAAUACAUAUGCCAUUGGGUGACCGAGAAGGCGUAUUUGCGGGUAUACUGAAAAUAUACUAUAUCACAAGCCGGGAGACCUGCCGCAAACAAA